rnacentral:rRNA from 1 species
GUAGAUAUAUGGAAGAACACCAGUGGCGAAGGCGGCUGUCUGGUCUGUAACUGACGCUGAGGCUCGAAAGCAUGGGUAGCGAACAGGAUUAGAUACCCUGGUAGUCCAUGCCGUAAACGAUGAAUGCUAGGUGUUGGAGGGUUUCCGCCCUUCAGUGCCGCAGCUAACGCAUUAAGCAUUCCGCCUGGGGAGUACGACCGCAAGGUUGAAACUCAAAGGAAUUGACGGGGGCCCGCACAAGCGGUGGAGCAUGUGGUUUAAUUCGAAGCAACGCGAAGAACCUUACCAGGUCUUGACAUCUUUUGAUCACCUGAGAGAUCAGGUUUCCCCUUCGGGGGCAAAAUGACAGGUGGUGCAUGGUUGUCGUCAGCUCGUGUCGUGAGAUGUUGGGUUAAGUCCCGCAACGAGCGCAACCCUUAUGACUAGUUGCCAGCAUUUAGUUGGGCACUCUAGUAAGACUGCCGGUGACAAACCGGAGGAAGGUGGGGAUGACGUCAAAUCAUCAUGCCCCUUAUGACCUGGGCUACACACGUGCUACAAUGGAUGGUACAACGAGUUGCGAGACCGCGAGGUCAAGCUAAUCUCUUAAAGCCAUUCUCAGUUCGGACUGUAGGCUGCAACUCGCCUACACGAAGUCGGAAUCGCUAGUAAUCGCGGAUCAGCACGCCGCGGUGAAUACGUUCCCGGGCCUUGUACACACCGCCCGUC